rnacentral:piRNA from 1 species
UUAAUCGUGUAGUUUUCGGGCUUAAGUC